ensembl:lncRNA
AUGUAGAGGUUAGGGAGACGAAUAUAAACACUUAUGAACAGUACAGCAUGACUGAUAUAACGUGGAAUUAAAUAUAAAAUGUAUAAAGCGUACAGUACGGUGAAUUCUCUCAUCCCAGAUCAUUCAAAAUAGUUUUCUGUGUUCAGAAUAACUGCAAGUUUACAAUCUCCUUGAUCGGGUAUGCGUUUAAACUGUUCUCAGUGUAGACCUGAUGUAAAUGUUUGUAAACUUUAUGUAGACUCAGUGUAGAGUUGUUGUAAACUUUAUGUAGACUCAGUGUAGAGUUGUUGUAAACUUUAUGUAGACUCAGUGUAGAGUUGUUGUAAACUUUAUAUAGACUCGGUGUAGAUUGUUUGUAAACUUUAUGUAAACUCGGUGUAGAGUUGUUGUAAACUUUAUGUAAACUCAGUGUAGAGUGUUGUAAACUUAUGUAAACUUGGUGUAGAGUGUUGUAAACUUUAUAUAGACUCAGUGUAGUUGUUUGUAAACUUUAUGUAGACUCAGUGUAGAGUGUUGUAAACUUUAUGUAGACUCAGUGUAGAGUUGUUUGUAAACUUUAUGUAGACUCAGUGUAGAGUUGUUGUAAACUUUAUGUAGAGUCAAUGUAGAGUUUUGUAAACUUUAUGUAGACACCAACAAAGACUCACCGCAUUACAACUGACAAAGACACACAGCAUAACAACUACACAACCUAUAACACUUUUACACUUUAUGUAGACUCAGUGUACACUUUAUUUACACUUUAUGUAGACUUUAUUUACACUGUGUAGACUCACUGUACACUUUAUUUAUACUUUCUGUAGACUUCAAUUACACUGUUAUGUAGACUCAGUGUACACUUUAUUUACACUUUAUUUACACAUUAUUUACACUUUAUUUACACAUUAUUUACACUUUAUGUACACUUUAUUUAUACUUUAUGUAGACUUUAAUUGCAAUUUUAUGUAGAGUCAGCGUACACUUUAUUUACACUUCAUGUAGACUUUAUUUACACUUUAUUUACAUUUUACGUAGACUCACUCACUAUGUAGAGUUAUGUACAUUUUACGUAGACUUUAUGUAGACCUGUUUUUACUUUAAGUAGACGUCACGGCUGUAGGAGUGUGUAGGACGCGAGUGAGAGCCCAAUGGCAUUUUUCCAAAUACACUAUUGUAUGAGAGGAAGCGUCACCGGUAAGAGCAGCACCAAGGCCUCUGGGUGUGUCGGCCUUCCUCUGAAACAAACAAACCAUUCUGAACUUCCUGCUCUGACCUUCUGCAGGACCAACGGCACAAAGACACACUGUGUUACUACUACAAACCAACAAAGACACAAAGCAUUACAACUACACAUCGACAAAGACACACAGUUGGAUUGAAAUUCAUUAAUGGUUAUUUUGCCCACUGCGCUGCUGAACUCUGGGUUGUGAUUGGUCGGCUCUGACGGUAGUGCAGCUGCAAAUCAGUGGUUUAUAUUAAUGCACUCAUUCUGAUACAUUGUUGUUGUUUUUAUAGUAAUAAAUAGAUAAUAAUUGUAAUAAAAAUUGUAAUAAAUUAUAAACAGUCAAAUUUUAUAUGAAAAACAUAUGAAUGUUGUCAUGGUAACAGGUUUGGCUGUAGUUAAAUAAGUUGCUGAGGAAAUAACAAAUAUUGAGACACUGAUUGACUGAAAUCCCAGACGUGUCACUCUGUGAC